CUUCCUGGGCCUUGUCUUCCCCGUGCCAAGCAAGAGAGAAACGCACGCACCCGAGAGAGCGAGCAGAGACACAAGAGCGGCCGCGCGGCGGCAUCCCGAUCUCGCCACCCCCCCGAUGCGAUCUUGCCAAACCCUAAUCCCCCGCCCCGCCACGCGGCUCGCGCCGGAGCCCUAGCCCCGAAUGCGGCGGUGACGCGCGCGGGGUAGUGUCGCCCGCGAGCGAGCGGGCGCGCGGCCAGCCCAUCCUGCCCGCCGCGAUGGGCGCCGCCGACAAGUGGCUGCUCCCGCUCGUCUCCGUCUCCUUCGUCUCGCUCCUGCUCUUCCUCUCCGCGCUCUCGGGCUUCUCCGCCUCCUCCUCGCUCUUCGCGCGCCUCCCGCCUCCCUCCUACGUGCGCCGGGGCGCCGCCGCGCCGCCCUCCUUCGCGUACCUGCUGGCCGGCGGCCGCGGGGACGGCAGGAAGCUCCUGCGGCUGCUCCUCGCGGUCUACCACCCCAGGAACCGCUACCUGCUCCACCUCUCCGCCGACGCGCCGGCCUCCGAGCGCGCCGAGCUCGCCGCGGCCGUCGCGCGCGCCGCCCCCGCCGUGCGCGCCUUCGGGAACGUCGACGUCGUCGGCAGGCCCACCGCCGGCACGCCCAUGGGGUCCUCCGGCCUCGCCGGCACGCUCCGCGCCGCCGCCGCGAUGCUCCGGCUGGAUGCGGAGUGGGACUGGUUCGUCACGCUCAACGCCGCGGACUACCCCCUUCUCACGCAGGACGAUUUAAUUCAUGUUUUCUCCUCUGUUCCAAGGCACCUCAACUUUAUUGAUCACACCAGUGACAUUGGAUGGAAAGAGUCUCAGAGAGUGCAACCGAUUAUAGUUGAUGCCGGAAUAUAUUUGGCAGGGAGGAAUCAGUUCUUCCAAGCCACAGAGAAACGGGAUACUCCAGAUGGUUUCAAAUUUUUCACAGGUUCUCCAUGGGUCAUUUUAAACAGACGCUUCAUCGAGUAUUGUGUUUUUGGUUGGGAUAAUCUCCCUAGAACACUCCUCAUGUACUUCACAAACGUGAUGCUACCUCUGGAGGGGUAUUUCCACUCAGUUGCAUGCAACUCUGACUUCCGAAAUUUCACAGUGAACAACGACUUGCGGUAUAUGGUGUGGGAUGAUCCUCCUCAGAUGGAACCCCAUUUCCUAAAUGUUACACAUUAUGAUGAGCUAGUGGGGAGUGGAAUUCCUUUUGCCCGGAAGUUUAAGGAGAAUGAACCCCUGUUGGACAAGAUUGAUGAUAAAAUACUUCGACGUUGGCAUCACAGACCUGUUCCUGGUGCCUGGUGCACAGGCAGAAAGAGGUGGUUUAGUGAUCCUUGUUCCCAGUGGAGCAACGUCAACAUUGUAAGACCUGGCCCUCAGGCUGAGAAGUUCCACAAAUAUAUAAACCAGAUUUUAGAAGAAUCGAAGUCAAGCAACAACUCCUGCAAGCAAUAGCAGUAGCAUCCAAGCAUGAGGCUUCAGUUCCCGCAGUUGAAGGUUGAGCUUGUCUCAUUUUGCAUAGAGGGGGCUCUCCAUGUCUCAAGAACUUCAUGGCUUUGGGUGCAAGCAUUUUUGCACCUGGGGUAUGAGCACACGGCCAAGUGAUGCAGCGCCAGUCCUUUUGCAGGGCUGUAGUGAGCUAAUGAACUGGAUGUGAGCAAUGGCAAUAUAGCAUCCGUGCCCCGUUUAGGAGCUGUUCUAUUUGGGGUGAAUUGUGACCUUCACCAGGGUGCAUCGUGGUAGUCUAUGACUACUUCUACUCAAACAAGCUAAAAUACAUGAAUUAAAAUACAUGGAUUGCCAGUAGCUGUUCAUGCAGCAAUCUAUACAUGAUUAUCACAGAUUGUGCAAAAGCUUGCUAAUAGUUGAAAAGUAGCAAACUCACCUGAUGAAGUUUCCAGUACUGAGGACACUGCUUACAGAUUAAAAGCAGAGAUCGAAAUAGCACAUGGCUGGCAAUUUAACCUCU